GAUCUGGCUCAGGAUGAACGCUAGCGACAGGCUUAACACAUGCAAGUCGAGGGGCAGCACAGGGUAGCAAUACUUGGGUGGCGACCGGCGCACGGGUGAGUAACGCGUAUGCAACUUACCUAUCAGAGGGGGAUAGCCCGGCGAAAGUCGGAUUAAUACCCCAUGAAACAGGGGUCCCGCAUGGGAAUAUUUGUUAAAGAUUCAUCGCUGAUAGAUAGGCAUGCGUUCCAUUAGGCAG
rnacentral:rRNA from 1 species